AAAACAAGAGGGAGAUUUGGCCCUUCUUUCUCAAGUCGCAGCCAACGACAGGACCCUGGAAGAUACCCUUCAAGGAGUCAGCAGAGCACGCCCAAAACCACUGCCUCUAAAACUGCUGGCAGAAACCUAAGGAAAACCAGAUCUGCUCCUCCCACAGAAACUCGGUCUCUAAGACUUGGCAGUCGCUCCACUCGCCACAGUCCUAACGCGCUGCAAGCAGAUGUGUUUGUGGAACUGCUUAGUCCUCGUGGGAAGCGUAGAGUGAGGAAGAGUGCUGACAAUACCCCAGAGCACAGCCCCAGCCUCACCAACCUCAGGGUCAGCACCUCAAGGCCAAGCGUACAGUUGAUUCCUUUAAAUUCUGCUGAAAGACUUUCUCUCCAGGAUAGUGAAUCUAAGAGAAGAGGCAGGAAGAGACAAUCUACAGAGUCAUCUCCUGUACCACUGAAUCGAAGAAGUUCUGGCCGGCAAGGAGGUGUUCAUGAAUUGUCUGCUUUUGAACAACUUGUUGUGGAAUUGGUACGGCAUGAUGAUAGCUGGCCCUUCUUGAAACUUGUUUCUAAAAUCCAGGUCCCAGACUACUAUGACAUCAUUAAGAAGCCCAUUGCCUUAAAUAUAAUUCGAGAAAAAGUAAAUAAAUGUGAAUAUAAAUUAGCAUCUGAGUUUAUUGAAGAUAUUGAGUUAAUGUUUUCAAACUGUUUUGAAUACAACCCGCGGAACACAAGUGAAGCAAAAGCUGGAACUCGGCUCCAAGCAUUUUUUCAUAUUCAAGCUCAAAAGCUUGGACUGCAUGUCUCACCCAGUAAUGUGGACCAGGCUAGCACGCCACUAGCUGCAAAGAAGUCACGGAUCUAAUUUGUCCUUAUAAAGGCUAUACGUGAAGAAAGACGGAUUGUUGAUGAAAAUGGAACAUUAAAUCAUGCUCUGAAGCAGAUAUGUGUGUAGAGCAGUAACAGCUGGCUGACCACGUCAGUGCGGCCUGCACUGUAUUCCCAAUUUACUCUUAAGCACUCAGGAGAACGUAGGAAAGACUUCCUUUGCUACAGCUUUUGUUCAGUGUCUACUAAGUUGCAUAGACGUACUGGGUACAGUACUGGGUUACAGAGGCUUGUGUAUAUUUUGAGAUCAUUCAUGUGUUCAGGUGUCUUGGAAAAUAUUUUUCAUCUAUGCUCUAUUUUGUCAUUGAGCCUUAGGAGUUCCAGUAGUAAGGAGGUCUUGUCUCCACGGUGAGCCUGCUAGAACACACCAUAGAGAGUGUGUCUGAGCUCCAUGUCAUAGGGUUUCAACACUACACAUGAGUGAGUCCAGUUCGCUAGCUCUGAUGUGCUGUAGCCAGUACCAACUGAAUUUAUUAACUAGAUAUUUAUUUAGCAUUCAAAGUCAUUUGUGAAUUUGUUUUGUAUUUAUAAAAUUUAUACUUGGAAAAUGUUCUUUAAUUUUUUUAAACAUUUUACUAUGUUUUUGUUUUAUUUCUCAACCAGUCUUAAUGAUUUAAAAAUAAAAAUGUCAUCCUAACAGUUCUGUUUUACAAACAAUAAGUUUCUGUGUACAACUUUUCUAAGUGUGCAAAUAAAAUGAUACAUUUUUUUCAA
rnacentral:lncRNA from 1 species